GGUUAAGCGACUAAGCGUACACGGUGGAUGCCCUGGCAGUCAGAGGCGAUGAAGGACGUGCUAAUCUGCGAAAAGCGUCGGUAAGGUGAUAUGAACCGUUAUAGCCGGCGAUGUCCGAAUGGGGAAACCCAGUGUGAUUCGUCACACUAUCGUUAACUGAAUACAUAGGUUAACGAGGCGAACCGGGGGAACUGAAACAUCUAAGUACCCCGAGGAAAAGAAAUCAACCGAGAUUCCCCCAGUAGCGGCGAGCGAACGGGGAGCAGCCCAGAGUCUGAAUCAGCUUGUGUGUUAGUGGAACGGUCUGGAAAGUCCGACGGUACAGGGUGAUAGUCCCGUACACCAAAAUGCACAGGUUGUGAACUCGAAGAGUAGGGCGGGACACGUGGUAUCCUGUCUGAAUAUGGGGGGACCAUCCUCCAAGGCUAAAUACUCCUGACUGACCGAUAGUGAACCAGUACCGUGAGGGAAAGGCGAAAAGAACCCCGGCGAGGGGAGUGAAAAAGAACCUGAAACCGUGUACGUACAAGCAGUGGGAGCACCUUUAUGGUGUGACUGCGUACCUUUUGUAUAAUGGGUCAGCGACUUAUAUUCUGUAGCAAGGUUAACCGUAUAGGGGAGCCGCAGGGAAACCGAGUCUUAACUGGGCGUUAAGUUGCAGGGUAUAGACCCGAAACCCGGUGAUCUAGCCAUGGGCAGGUUGAAGGUUGGGUAACACUAACUGGAGGACCGAACCGACUAAUGUUGAAAAAUUAGCGGAUGACUUGUGGCUGGGGGUGAAAGGCCAAUCAAACCGGGAGAUAGCUGGUUCUCCCCGAAAGCUAUUUAGGUAGCGCCUCGUGAACUCAUCUUCGGGGGUAGAGCACUGUUUCGGCUAGGGGGUCAUCCCGACUUACCAACCCGAUGCAAACUACGAAUACCGAAGAAUGUUAUCACGGGAGACACACGGCGGGUGCUAACGUCCGUCGUGAAGAGGGAAACAACCCAGACCGCCAGCUAAGGUCCCAAAGUCAUGGUUAAGUGGGAAACGAUGUGGGAAGGCACAGACAGCCAGGAUGUUGGCUUAGAAGCAGCCAUCAUUUAAAGAAAGCGUAAUAGCUCACUGGUCGAGUCGGCCUGCGCGGAAGAUGUAACGGGGCUAAACCAUGCACCGAAGCUGCGGCAGCGACACUAUGUGUUGUUGGGUAGGGGAGCGUUCUGUAAGCCUGCGAAGGUGACCUGUGAGGGUUGCUGGAGGUAUCAGAAGUGCGAAUGCUGACAUAAGUAACGAUAAAGCGGGUGAAAAGCCCGCUCGCCGGAAGACCAAGGGUUCCUGUCCAACGUUAAUCGGGGCAGGGUGAGUCGACCCCUAAGGCGAGGCCGAAAGGCGUAGUCGAUGGGAAACAGGUUAAUAUUCCUGUACUUGGUGUUACUGCGAAGGGGGGACGGAGAAGGCUAUGUUAGCCGGGCGACGGUUGUCCCGGUUUAAGCAUGUAGGCUGGUUAUCCAGGCAAAUCCGGAUAAUCAAGGCUGAGGUGUGAUGAGGAGGCACUACGGUGCUGAAGUGACAAAUGCCCUGCUUCCAGGAAAAGCCUCUAAGCAUCAGGUAACAUCAAAUCGUACCCCAAACCGACACAGGUGGUCAGGUAGAGAAUACCAAGGCGCUUGAGAGAACUCGGGUGAAGGAACUAGGCAAAAUGGUGCCGUAACUUCGGGAGAAGGCACGCUGGUGUGUAGGUGAAGUCCCUGCGGAUGGAGCUGAGACCAGUCGAAGAUACCAGCUGGCUGCAACUGUUUAUUAAAAACACAGCACUGUGCAAACACGAAAGUGGACGUAUACGGUGUGACGCCUGCCCGGUGCCGGAAGGUUAAUUGAUGGGGUUAUCCGUAAGGAGAAGCUCUUGAUCGAAGCCCCGGUAAACGGCGGCCGUAACUAUAACGGUCCUAAGGUAGCGAAAUUCCUUGUCGGGUAAGUUCCGACCUGCACGAAUGGCGUAAUGAUGGCCAGGCUGUCUCCACCCGAGACUCAGUGAAAUUGAACUCGCUGUGAAGAUGCAGUGUACCCGCGGCAAGACGGAAAGACCCCGUGAACCUUUACUAUAGCUUGACACUGAACAUUGAGCCUUGAUGUGUAGGAUAGGUGGGAGGCUUUGAAGCGUGGACGCCAGUCUGCGUGGAGCCAACCUUGAAAUACCACCCUUUAAUGUUUGAUGUUCUAACGUGGGCCCCUGACCGGGGUUGCGGACAGUGUCUGGUGGGUAGUUUGACUGGGGCGGUCUCCUCCCAAAGCGUAACGGAGGAGCACGAAGGUUAGCUAAUCCUGGUCGGACAUCAGGAGGUUAGUGCAAUGGCAUAAGCUAGCUUGACUGCGAGCGUGACGGCGCGAGCAGGUGCGAAAGCAGGUCAUAGUGAUCCGGUGGUUCUGAAUGGAAGGGCCAUCGCUCAACGGAUAAAAGGUACUCCGGGGAUAACAGGCUGAUACCGCCCAAGAGUUCAUAUCGACGGCGGUGUUUGGCACCUCGAUGUCGGCUCAUCACAUCCUGGGGCUGAAGUAGGUCCCAAGGGUAUGGCUGUUCGCCAUUUAAAGUGGUACGCGAGCUGGGUUUAGAACGUCGUGAGACAGUUCGGUCCCUAUCUGCCGUGGGCGCUGGAGAAUUGAGGGGGGCUGCUCCUAGUACGAGAGGACCGGAGUGGACGCAUCACUGGUGUUCGGGUUGUCAUGCCAAUGGCACUGCCCGGUAGCUAAAUGCGGAAGAGAUAAGUGCUGAAAGCAUCUAAGCACGAAACUUGCCCCGAGAUGAGUUCUCCCUGAGACUUUAAGUCUCCUGAAGGAACGUUGAAGACGACGACGUUGAUAGGCCGGGUGUGUAAGCGCAGCGAUGCGUUGAGCUAACCGGUACUAAUGAACCGUGAGGCUUAACCUU
rnacentral:rRNA from 1 species